rnacentral:rRNA from 1 species
GAUGAACGCUGGCGGCGUGCUUAACACAUGCAAGUCGAACGGAAAGGCCACAGCUUGCUGUGGUACUCGAGUGGCGAACGGGUGAGUAACACGUGGGUGAUCUGCCCUGUACUUCGGGAUAAGCUUGGGAAACUGGGUCUAAUACCGGAUAGGAAUCACAUGUGGGUGUGUGGUUGGAAAGCUUUUGCGGUAUGGGAUGAGCUCGCGGCCUAUCAGCUUGUUGGUGGGGUAAUGGCCUACCAAGGCGUCGACGGGUAGCCGGCCUGAGAGGGUGUAUGGCCACAUUGGGACUGAGAUACGGCCCAGACUCCUACGGGAGGCAGCAGUGGGGAAUAUUGCACAAUGGGCGCAAGCCUGAUGCAGCGACGCCGCGUGGGGGAUGACGGCCUUCGGGUUGUAAACUCCUUUCGUCAGGGACGAAGCGAAAGUGACGGUACCUGGAUAAGAAGCACCGGCUAACUACGUG